GUACCUUCCUGGAGGGGAGAUGCUGUGAUUGUGGAGGUGUUUUUCCCAGGAUGAUGCUCAUUCAUUGUACACUGGAUGUCCCGACUCCUGUGAUUUCCUCAAAUGUGGGAAACUCGACUAUAUAAUUUCUGGUAGAGUGUUUGGGUUCUCAUUUAAAAA
ensembl:snRNA U1 U1 spliceosomal RNA